CAUGCAAUUGCUGGGUCAAAUAGUAACUCUGUGUUUAACUUUGUGAGGAGCUGCAAGAUGUUUUCCAAAUUGACUGCAUCAUUUUACAUUCCCCUCAGCAGU
rnacentral:pre_miRNA from 1 species